CCUACGGGUGGCAGCAGUGGGGAAUAUUGGGCAAUGGAGGAAACUCUGACCCAGCAACGCCGCGUGAAUGAUGAAGGUCUUCGGAUUGUAAAGUUCUUUUCUAAGGGAAGAAGAAAGUGACGGUACCUUAGGAUAAGGCAUGUACUAACAACGUGCCGGCAGCCGCGGUACUACGUAGGAGCCGAGGUUUAACGGGAGUGCCUGGCGGUAAAGGGUGCGUAGGGGGUUUGGCAAGUUAGUAGCGUAACUCCAAGGCUCAACCUUGGAACUACUACUGAAACUGUUGGACUUGAGUGCAGGAGGGGAAACCGGAAUUCCUAGUGUAGCGGUGGAAUGCGUAGAUAUUAGGAGGAACACCAGUGGCGAAGGCGAGUUGCUAGGCUGUAACUGACACUGAGGCACGAAAGCGUGGGGAGCAAACAGGAUUAGAUACCCGAGUAGUC
rnacentral:rRNA from 1 species